AAGUCGUAACAAGGUUUCCGUAGGUGAACCUGCGGAAGGAUCAUUAACACAAUUUUACUGUGAUAAAUCCGUUGAAUUCUCGAAUUCAAUGGUAUCCACCCCAUUAUUGACGAACUUUUCUAGAUGUUAAAACAUAGAGCUAGUCUUUAUGUUUUUAACAUUCUAAACCUUUUUCUAUAUCCACACAAAUUUAAACCCCUUUUACAACAUGUAUUAGACUGAAAUGAAAAUUUUCUAUCAAAAAAUUGAUAAAAACAACUUUUAACAACGGAUAUCUUGGCUCUC
rnacentral:misc_RNA from 1 species